AGCAACAGUCUCUCUCUCCAUUGCUGGUUACGAAGAAGCGAGAGGCCGUGAAUUCUACAGCUACAAGGAGAUGAAUUCUGCCAGCCAGAGGGGGCUUGUAAGAGGCUCCUUCCCUGGUCCAGUCUCCAGAUGAGAACAAGGGCCGAAAGCACCUUCAUUUCAGCCUGUGAGACUUGGAGCAGAGGGCAGUGACACUGUGCCAGGACCAGAGCUGUGGAAACCGUGAGAUUAUAGAUGUGUGUUGUUUAUGCUGCUAAAUCUGUGGUAAUCUGCACAGUAUAACCCUAACAGAGAGUCCAAGGUUUAGGCAGAUAGAAAUUUUGGAGUACUUCUGUCACAUGUGAACUACAGGCCCCUCCCACUACUGCCACCACCACAAGCCCUGAAGGGCCCGCCGCGUACUCCCUUCACUGGGGCCCUGAGACAAACUUGAUCUCUGUGGUGCACGUUUUCUGCAGGGCAGGAGAUGAGGCAAUUGAUGGAGGAUUCCAGACUUAGGUGGGUGACGGGGUCUUGGAGCAGCAGCUUUCCUGUGGCAGCACCAACCCCAGCGGGGUGGAUGAUGGGGUGUAGGGGGCAUCAGGGACUCUGAUGGCUUUCUCUCCCACCCGCCUAGUCCGUGGACACCACAAAAUCAAACCACAUCAUCUGUUUUGCUUACUGCUAUCCCCCCAGCACAUAGUAGGAGCUCAGAAAACACUUGACGGACUGCGACACAAACAUGACUGAGAACACAGAGGCUUUAUGUGUGUCAAAUAUCCUUUCAUCUGAAAGACUUCAUAAUGACCCACUCUCUUAUUAUAAGCUUAGUGGGAUUAAGUGUGACCAGUCUGAAAUGAGGUGAUUUAUUACACUCAGCUCAAUUGCAAUCACGGAUAUUGCUCUGAGCUGUCGAGCUGAAACCUGCAGGCACAGUUGUAGGAGAAACUCCUGCCUCUGUGAACUAAUUAGAGGAAAGAGGCCCUUUUCUUUUCUGCCAUGUGCAUGUCUCUCAGGGAAAGACUGAAUCUGGCCCCAGAGCUACACAUUGGCUGUUUGGCCAAAAGGAAGAAUGAAGGCCAGGAUGGGCAACGCCCCGCCAGGGUGUCAACUCUCUUCUCAUUCCCCAUUUAACAAAACCACUGCAGGACCCCCUGCUCCUGGCAGUGUUCUGGGUCGGCACUGGCACUUAAGGGGCUCACAGUCUAUUCAGAGGGAAAGACAAGACAUAAAACCCCUGCAAUGCUAUGUGAUGAGUGCCAUGAUGGACAGAAAUGGGGGGGUCCUAACCUUCCAAAUGUUCAGUAGAGGUUUCCCACAGGAGGUGAGAUCAGCUGAUGCCUAAAAGGGUACAGAGGGAUUGCCAGAGGGAGGGAAGGAGAGAAGUUCUAAGCCAAGGAAACAGCAUGGAGGAGUUCCGGGACAGAGCAGGGCACAUUUGCAGAAUGGCACGACUAAUUAUAAACCAGCAUUUUUGAGGUGGGGAGGGCCAUGAGAUACACCAGUGAAGAUGCCCCUGUGGGCUGUGGGAAGCAUGGCGGGUUCUACGUGGCGGUAGACUAUGACCCAGUUUGAGUGUGAGAAGACCUUUCCGACUGCCAUGGCAGAUGGCUGACGCUGUGGGCAAGGAGACAGGUCAGGAUCUGGCUACCCAACACGCAGCCCCUGGACCAGCAGCAUUGGUCUCAUCGGGAAGUGAUUAGAAAUAUAGCCCCUGGACAGCCCCCAGAAGUACUGAAUCAGAACCUGCACGGCACAAGCUCCCUGUGAUUCAUGAGCAUGUGGAUGUUGGAAAAGCACCAAACUGAGGCUGUUGCAAUGACCCAGGUCAGACCGGGUGGUGCUGGCUCCCACCAAGCUGGUGGCAGAAGGGAUGGAGAGAAGAGGGCAGAGUGAGGAACACGAGCCGGUGGGCCCACAGGACUUGGUGUUAGAUGGGAUGACAGGCGGGUUCCUGGCCGGGGAACCACGUGGUCCAGACUGAAAAUUCCUGUGGGAUUUAGGACCAGCAGUCCCCGGUGAUUGUGCUCAGAGCAGUCCUGGAGGCAUAGUGAGGCAAAGACUGGACUUCAAUGGGAAAAGAAAGGAAGAGGAGGCGACAAAGUGGGAACAGCAUGGGGACACACUCCUUGGAAGAACUGGACAGCGAAGAAGUGAAGAGGUGAGGCAAACAUGGGGCCUGCCAGGGAGCUUUCGUCCUCAUUAUGGCUGCUAUUAGUAUGAGUACUAAUGCGAGAGCCUCGAGAGUGUUGACACCUGAAAGGAAAAGCUGGCGGAGAGGAGAGUUGCUCAUUGGAAGGGCAGGCCACCCCAGCGGACUGAGAAGCCUUAGCGAGCAGGACUGGACAGGCCCCGACGCAGUGACUAGGGGAGGGGAGGAGCUGUUGGAGAUCUGUCUGCUGGACUCUGUUCUCUCAGUGAAGGAGGGGCCAGGUCCGCUGCCGGGCCUGAGGUCAGAGAUGAGGGCAGGAGGCCGGCCGGGAGGCUGGUGAAGGAGUGGAAGCUGUGGAGCAGGGGGAGGAGACUGGGGACUGAGGGGUGUUUCAGGGGGCUUUGAGGGAGGGACCAUCAUGCUUGAAAGCAAGGCUGAGGGGUGCAGGUGAAAUGCUGCAAUGUUUCCUCCAGCAGGAGAUGCCAUCUUUGGAUGUGUAAGGGGUGUAAUUGUAACCCAGCACACGUUACAGAGGCAGCACUGCUUAGCAGUUAAAAAGCACACUCUGGAGCCGGAUCGCCGGGUUUGAAUCUCCCCUCUGGAGCGUGUCUGCUCGACCUUCAGUCUUGCCUUACCUGGCACCACCACGCUGGUGAACAGCACAUACAACACAUAGAGCAGAAGUCAGUAUCACUGGUCUGGGGCUAAAACCAUUUGGAGAUGCGUUCCAGUGUCCUGCACUGUGUCAGCCUGUGCAGUGCUAUUUUUUAAAAUAGUGUUGAACACAACAAAUUAGGAAAUUUCACCUAAGAAUCAUGAAUUUUUAGCUUCUUUUGCGAAUUAGCCUGGUCUGCAGAGUUAAUUCUUCCCUCAUGUUGGGCUGAGUCCUGGCUGCCCCUCCUGUCAGUCAAGGCUCUUCAGCAUCACCAUCACCAUGGAAACCACAUCCUGGUAUCUACCUUCCUCAGGUCCCUGUGGCCCCAGCUCCCAGCACUGCAAUAUGCGCAUGUUGAACGCAGUCUGAGUUGUCCGUGUGUGUGCUGUGCCAGCUGUCAAAGAUUUUGAGCAUCACCUUUGCUUGCAGGCAUUUGAAUUUGUGCCUCUGUGUUAAAAUCGCCAGAAUUCUCUUUGAACUGCUCUUACAGACCGUGGGAUGUCAGUAAAGUGCAAUUUCUUUCCUGUGCCCAAAGGAUGGAGGAAAGUCAGAACUAUAUGAUGACCUAUAUUAGGACCCACCAAGGUUAGCAGUGACCAGUCAUCUUAAGAAAGAGGGACAUGCUUAAUAAGCAGAAACAAAAGUGCAUGCAGAGCUCAUUCGCAUCAUCAGAGUGGAGACCUCUGCUCUUUCCCAGGCGCCUAAUGGACUCACGUCCUGUUUACACAGAAGUCCAAGGAGUGUUUGAGAGUCUAUGUCAAUGGAACCCUGAGCACCUUCAACCCAAGGGGCAAAGUGUCUCAUGCCUACGGGGACACAGAUGUCAACCUCGUGAUAGGGUCUGAGCAGGACCCAACCAAGUGCUAUGAGAACAGAGAUUUCGAUGAGUUCAUCAUCUGGGAAUGGGCUCCGACUCCAGAGGAGACAGCAAUGUACCUCACAGUGGCCAUCGGAUUGCUGAGGCAGUGAAUUUCAAAGACUAUGUGAUGUCUGCAACUAGUUGCCAUAUUUCCCUGGAGGGACCACUACCACGGACUCUCCCAGAAUUUGUUAGAUUGUCCCCUUAUCACCAUCCAUCUCAUGCACGAAUAGAUCCUUUGUGAAGCUGCCUCUUCUAGGCUUCCGCUCCCACACCAGGAGGUCGCCCCCCUUUCUUCCCCACCUGGGGGUGUCGGUGGAACUCACGGGAUCGCUCUCCCCAGAGAAGGUCUCCUCACAGUUCCUCCCCUCGGAUGUCAAUGUAGCUCUUCAUAUGCCCCCACGUGGAUGAGGCAUCAAGUGGGUUCUGAAAAAGACGUGUGGGAAUUUGCUGUCCUGGAGAUUCCGGACAUCAGCUUCAGAAAUGGAUCAAACCUGUCACCCUCAGUAGUGUAUUUGACACGAUGGAGCUAAACCAGCCAACAGUGGCGAGUCACAUUUGGAUAAGGAGCCAUGAGUCUGGUCCUUCCACCAACAGUGAGAUUUAAACUUGCAGUUUCACCAGAAAGAGAAGAAAAAAGCAUGUUUUUUCCAUCUUUCCUCAUUUCAGACCAUCUAACUAAGCACCAGUCAGUGUGCCCAAGUUUUCAAAUCAAACUCCGUUUGAAUUUGUCUAAGAGGAGUGGAGCAUACUCACUGAUUCAGGUGUGUUACUUCUGGGCUGUGUUUCCAUUACCAUCUUCGGAAAAACACGUGAGGCCGGGUCCAUGGCUAAGGGUGACUUGUUCUGCCGAGAUCUGAAGUGCCCUGUUUGAAAUUGUGCCCUGUGGAAGGUACCGCCGACUCCAGCACGGGCCUGAUAGGUCUCGGUUUGUGUGUGGUUCACAGUGGUUUUGUCCUCCGGGCUUCAGGGGGUCUUCAGUGUCGUGAAGGACACGUUUCCUGUGGCUCGAAGUGGACGCAUCCUGGUGGGAAAGUGUGACUGAGGCCAAGUGCUUUCUCCUCCUGGCAGGUUCUGGGUAGCCCGGAGGCAGAAGUUCCGUGGAGUUCAAGGAACGCUGCUGGACCUGCAGAGCCUGUGGGCAAUGAGUCUGCUUAUUAUUAAUGCAGUUUCUUUGGCUUUUCAAGAUACUUAACAUUCAAUAAAUAUUUUCAAUAAUUCAGAAAAUCCGCAUGCAGUGCUCUUUGGGGGAGCAUUUGCAAGAGUGGAAUGUGAGUGUAAAGAUGAAGGUCAGUGUGAACCCGUCCAGCAGGCAGCCCCCUGACCUUGUGAUGGUGACCGUGAGUGCUGCCCUUUCUGAGAAGUCCCCACGUGCUGGCUGUGCUGAGCGCUUGGCAGCACCUCGUUCAAUUCACGCGGGAGCUCGGAGUCCUCUCCGGUCCGCUGUGUCAGCCCUCAUGGCAGGUGCUCCACACUGGGGCCGAUCUGCAGACCUGCUUUUCUAUUGAAAAUCAACUGCAAAUGCAGGACUCUCUGCUUCUCUUGCAAACAGUGAUAGGCUGUCAGCAUGGGGCUGCGUUUCCUGGCCAGAGCUGCCUGCAGUGGCCGCUCCCCUUCAGUGCAGCCUCUUCCUAGAACCCCAGCCCUGCCUGCUCGCUCCUGUGUUACCUUCCUGGUCUCGUUAGCACUCGAAUGUGAACCCCGCUUCUUGGUAGUGAUUACCCUAUCCUCUUCCAGUGUACUCCUCCCCUCCCUCUCAGCUGCGCUAGACCUUUAAAAAUCCUUCCUUUGGCCACACAUCUCUGUGGAGCUACUGCCCCUCUCCUUUCUUUCACAGCCACUCUCUGGGAAGAGUCACUUGCAUUUUCCGUCUCCUCCUCACCAGUGACUCCUCGCCAUUCUGGUUCUUUCCCCACACUUGACCCAAACACCUCUUGCUCAGUCACCAAUGCCUGUGCAUCACUAAGUCCACCUCUCAGUCUGUGUCUUGACUGCUCAGCAGGUUUGACCCGCUGGCCCCUUCCUCCUCCAUAAACACCCUCAUGCACUGGAUGCGCAGCAGUGUGCUCCCCUGUCUUCCUCCCACCUCUCUGAUGGCUCCCUCUCAGUCUUCUGUUCAGAUCUUGCCGCCCUGACCUGGAUGUUAAAUGUUCCACAAAGAUUCAUCCUGGGUGUUCUCUAGUCAUUAUGUUUCUUUCUCAUCUAUCCCCUGGGCCUUUCAUACUGCCCAUACAUUGAUGGAUCCCAAAUUCAUGUCUCUAGAAUAUUCUGUCUUUUAGCUUUAGACUCGUAAAUCCACCUGUUUACUUGGUGUCUGCAUUUGGAUGGCUCGUGGGCAAUGCACAGUCAGCAGGUCAAGAGUAAUCUCCAUUCCUUCACUCUUACCUCACUCAGUGUUUCCAGCCUAAUAAAUGGAACCACAGUCCAUCGACUUGUAUGAACCAAGGGAAUCCAUUCCUUAUAUUCCGUCCCCCUCACUCUCCUCAUAUCUGGCCCACCGCUAACCUGUUGAUUUUACGUCCCAAACUUCCCUGGGAUCCACCUGCUUUCCUCAUCUCCACGGCCUCCACCUCAAGGGAACACAGCCUCCUGACCAUUUCCUGACUUCUACAGUUGCCGCCCCUGCCCCUUCUAUACUCCUUGUGGCAGACUGAGUGACCUUUUGAAGAGGCACAUCUAGUUACCUCUUCUGCCGUGGAUCGUCCUCAGCUCCCGUCACUUGGAGUGAAGUUAAACCCCUCCCUGUGGCCCAAAAGCCCAGGAUUGUCAUCUUGCCUCAUCUGUACCAUGCUCCUUGUCCUUCCCUGCUCCAGCCACAGGGCCUUUACACGUGUUGUUCCCUCUGCCUGGAGCGCUCUCUCUCUUCCCUGCUCACUCCCGGUCAUCCUCGUGUCUCAGCUCUGUUGUCACUCCCCGAGGGCGCCUUGCCUGACCCUCCUGGAUCAGGUGGAGUUCACUGUGUUGGCUCCCAUUCCUUGUUGGCACACGCCUCCUGUUGUCAUUCAUUUCGUGUUUGUUUUUUCCACUAGACUGUCAACUCAUGUGCUUUUGUUCAUCAUGAAAUGCACAGCACAUGCUUACAGUAGGAACUCAAUAAAUGUCUACAGAAUGAAUGAAUAAACUACACGUAAUAACCCUUUGUAACUAGAAAUCAGAGGUUAGAAAAGGUAAAUGACACAGUGAGGCUGCAAUGGCUGCAGAACUCGAAUCCAGGUCUGUGAGACGCCAGAGCCCACGGCAGCUGCUCUGGGUGGGCACACAGGCUUCUGUUCCUUCUCCGUCCUCUCCGCAGGAGGAGUCAGAGGCUCAGUUUGCAUCUGUUUGCGUGUUCUCGUUUCCGUUCACUCCUUAAGAAGUAACUGAGGUGUGUUACUGAGUCAGUCAUUUAAUGAACAAGACAUCUGUUCAUCAAACAGGCUGGUUUAGUUACUUGUUUUAAGAGAUUUGAAGGUAGAUAUAUUGCAAAGGUCAGUCACUUAAAUUGUAUGACUAUUAUUAUCUAUUGAGAAGAAAUUGUAUAACACAAUUAAUAUAAUUCACAAUAAAAACAUGGAAGAAGAUACUUGUUAUUUGAUAAACUGAAUAAUUUAGUUGUUACUAGUAUACAUAAAUUUUAUGAAACAGUAAUUAUAAUGUAGAUGAGUUUUUAUUCUCAUGGUUAUUGUUAUUAUAAUUGUGAACGGCAGGGUUAUUGCAUGGAGAUCCACCGUACACAACCACUACAGAUUAAAUUAUAUCACUGAAAUGUACCCUCCACCUCCUUAUUUGUCUUAUUUUUCUAAAAAUGUUUGUACUUUAAAACGUGAGUCAGUGUGGUGAAGUGUGACCAGGCGUGUCUGUGUCUCUCUCAUCUCGGUU